GGACCCAUGGUCUAGCGGCUACACAAAAACGUGCCGUUUUUGGUCGCGUCUUUUGCCGCAGAUGACAUCUCGUUGACGUCGAGGGGAUCCCCGGUUCGAAUCCGGGUGGGUCCA
rnacentral:tRNA from 1 species